UCGGCCACAUCACGUUGAAACACCACUUCCCGUAAGACCUAUGAAGUUAAGCAACGUCGAGCCUGAUCAGUACGUAGAUGGGCGAGCACUUGUUAAUACCAGGUGAUGUAAG